AUUGAACGCUGGCGGCAUGCCUAACACAUGCAAGUCGAACGGAACGAUGGGAGCUUGCUCCCAGGCGUCGAGUGGCGACGGGUGAGUAAUACUUAGGAAUCUGCCCAGUAGUGGGGACAACCCGGGGAAACCGGCUAAUACCGCGUAAUCUCUACGGAGGAAGAGGGCCUCUUACUUGAAAGCUCUCGCUAUUGGAUGAGCCUAAGUCGGAUUAGCUUGUUGGUGGGGUAAAGGCCUACCAAGGCGACGAUCCGUAGCUGGUCUGAGAGGACGAUCAGCCACACUGGGACUGAGACACGGCCC
rnacentral:rRNA from 1 species